rnacentral:rRNA from 1 species
CCUACGGGUGGCAGCAGUGAGGAAUAUUGGUCAAUGGACGAGAGUCUGAACCAGCCAAGCAGCGUGAAGGAUGACUGCCCCAUGGGUUGUAAACUUCUUUUAUAUGGGAAUAAAAUGUUGUACGCGUGGGCUUUUGUAUGUACCAUAUGAAUACGGAUCGGCUAACUCCGGGCCAGCAGCCGCGGUAAUCCGGAGGAUCCGAGCGUUCUCCGGAUUUAUUGGGUUUAAAGGGUGCGUAGGUGGAUGGUUAAGUCAGGUGUGAAAGGUUGCGGCUCAACCGUAAAAUGGCAGUUGAAACUGGCAGGCUGGAGUGCGGUAGAGGUGGGCGGAAUUCGUGGUGUAGCGGUGAAAUGCUUAGAUAUCACGAAGAACUCCGAUUGCGAAGGCAGCUCACUGGACUGCAACUGACGCUGAGGCACGAAAGUGUGGGUAUCAAACAGGAUUAGAUACCCGAGUAGUC